rnacentral:rRNA from 1 species
AUGAACGCUAGCUACAGGCUUAACACAUGCAAGUCGAGGGGCAGCAUGAGCUUAGCUUGCUAAGCUUGAUGGCGACCGGCGCACGGGUGAGUAACACGUAUCCAACCUCCCGCUUACUCAGGAAUAGCCUUUCGAAAGAAAGAUUAAUGCCUGAUGGUAUCUUAAGCACACAUGUAAUUAAGAUUAAAGAUUUAUCGGUAAGCGAUGGGGAUGCGUUCCAUUAGGUAGUAGGCGGGGUAACGGCCCACCUAGCCUACGAUGGAUAGGGGUUCUGAGAGGAAGGUCCCCCACAUUGGAACUGAGACACGGUCCAAACUCCUACGGGAGGCAGCAGUGAGGAAUAUUGGUCAAUGGGCGCGAGCCUGAACCAGCCAAGUAGCGUGAAGGAUGAAGGUCCUACGGAUUGUAAACUUCUUUUAUACGGGAAUAAAGUGGCCUACGUGUAGGCUUUUGCAUGUACCGUAUGAAUAAGCAUCGGCUAACUCCGUGCCAGCAGCCGCGGUAAUACGGAGGAUGCGAGCGUUAUCCGGAUUUAUUGGGUUUAAAGGGAGCGUAGACGGGGGAUUAAGUCAGUUGUGAAAGUUUGCGGCUCAACCGUAAAAUUGCAGUUGAUACUGGUUCCCUUGAGUGCAGUUGAGGCAGGCGGAAUUCGUGGUGUAGCGGUGAAAUGCAUAGAUAUCACGAAGAACCCCGAUUGCGAAGGCAGCCUGCUAAGCUGUAACUGACGUUGAGGCUCGAAAGUGUGGGUAUCAAACAGGAUUAGAUACCCUGGUAGUCCACACGGUAAACGAUGGAUACUCGCUGUUGGCGAUAUACUGUCAGCGGCCAAGCGAAAGCAUUAAGUAUCCCACCUGGGGAGUACGCCGGCAACGGUGAAACUCAAAGGAAUUGACGGGGGCCCGCACAAGCAGCGGAGCAUGUGGUUUAAUUCGAAGCAACGCGAAGAACCUUACCAAGUCUUGACAUCCUUCUGACCGGAACUUAACCGUUCCUUUCCUUCGGGACAGAAGAGACAGGUGGUGCAUGGUUGUCGUCAGCUCGUGCCGUGAGGUGUCGGCUUAAGUGCCAUAACGAGCGCAACCCUCGUGGCCAGUUACUAUCAGGUAAGGCUGAGGACUCUGGCCAGACUGCCAUCGUAAGAUGCGAGGAAGGUGGGGAUGACGUCAAAUCAGCACGGCCCUUACGUCCGGGGCUACACACGUGUUACAAUGGGAGGUACAGAAGGCAGCUACCCGGCGACGGGAUGCCAAUCCCGAAAGCCUCUCUCAGUUCGGACUGGAGUCUGCAACCCGACUCCACGAAGCUGGAUUCGCUAGUAAUCGCGCAUCAGCCACGGCGCGGUGAAUACGUUCCCGGGCCUUGUACACACCGCCCGUCAAGCCAUGAAAGCCGGGGGUACCUGAAGUGCGUAACCGCAAGGAGCGCCCUAGGGUAAAACCGGUAAUUGGGGCU